rnacentral:rRNA from 1 species
GAUGAACGCUAGCGGCAGGCUUAACACAUGCAAGUCGAGGGGUAUGGUUCUUUGGAACCAGAGACCGGCGCACGGGUGCGUAACGCGUAUGCAAUCUACCUUUUUACAGAGGGAUAGCCCAGAGAAAUUUGGAUUAAUACCUCAUAGUAUAGCUCUACCGCAUGGUAGUACUAUUAAAGUCACAACGGUAAAAGAUGAGC